ensembl:lncRNA
AGCCAAGCCAAAGGCGGAGAAUGAAGCAGGAAGGUGGCAGCCGUGGAAGGCAACUGCUCAGACCACCGAGCUGUGGUGCGGGGCCCAGGCAGAGUGGGCAGAAGCGACCUGCAGAUGAGCUGGGCUUUGCUGGAAUGGAAAGGAGGCUGGGGGCGCAGGGGAGGAAGAGAUCGGCUGGGAGGAGCAGAGCUGCUGCCACACCGAGUGGGCACAACAUGGACAAGUGAAUGAAAGCGAGUGACCGGUGGGCUUUGCCAUCCUUGUAUCACACGAGCGCCUCCACCCUUCCUGACAACAGAUUCCAAGGCACCUUCUCCCAACCUGCUGACUCAGACUCAGCGGGAAAGAAGGCCAUGUGAUAACCAGCAGACCAGGGAACUCAGAGAUCAAGUCUGGAAGUCAUCUGGUUCCCCGAGGCACCGUUGAACUGCCUGGGCAGGCCCUAGGCCUGAGAUGCUGAGGCCUCCAGGUUCCAGGGCAGAAGGUACGGUGGCACUGUGGGGACUCAGGAGGGAGCUAAUCCAGGCUCUGGUGACCUCAGCCGCUCCCACGUUCUCUGGGCCUCUGGUCCCGCUCUGGAGAGGAGGCACUCUGUCUCCGGUCUGCUUCAAAGCUGCUGCUGGACACAGACUGGGGCCCAGGCCGGGGACCUGCAGCUCCUGCCUUCAGCACGUAGCAGUCACUUGUCCAGCAGCCCUCUUUGCCUCUCUGAGACUUGGCUUCUGCACAGCCACAUGGGACCAUAAAAGCCUACAGGCUCUUGUGAGCAUUUUUUCCCCUCUUCUUUUAAGAAAACUGUGGUAAAAUACACAUCCCAUAAAAGUUGCCAUUUGAACCAUAUUUAAGUGUCUUAAUUCAGUAGCAUUACAUGCCCUCACACUGUUGUGCAAACAUCACCACCAUUAAUUUCCAGAACUUUUGCAACUUCCCAAACGAAAUCUCUAUCCCCAUUUAACACUAACUCUCCACUGCCCCCCUCUCUCAGCCCCGGUCCCCCACCAGUCUACUUUCUGUCUCUGUGAAUGUGACUGUUCUAGAUGCCUCAUAGCUCUUGUCCUUUUGUUAGAGGCAGAUUUCACCGGGUACAAUGCCCUUAAGGUUCAUCCAUGUUGCAGCCCGUGUCAGAAUUUCUAUCCUUUUCAAGGCCAAAUAGCAUCCCACUGUAUGGAUGGACCACAUGGUCCUGCAGGGUCAUCUCUUAUUUGAUCCCAUCCAUAGGGCUGGUGCUUCUCAAUGUUUCCAUCUUACAUCCCGGCUGGCAAUAAUAAUAAUGAUGAUGAUGGGACUCCCCUGAUGGUCCAGUGGCUAAGAUUCUGAGCUCCCAAUGUACAGGGACCAGGUUCAAUCCCUGGUCAGGGAACUACAUCCUUCAUGCUGCAACCUGCUCUCCAGGUGGCCUAGGAAAUAGUUGCUUCAUCCCUUUGAAGUCCCCUGGGGAACCCUAACUGCUAGGCUGGGUCCUGACCCUGCCAGUCCCAUCAGGGGAGACACAGAGAGACCACUUCUUCUGAGAAACAGAUCCCGUGUGCUGCAACUAAGACCAAACACAGCCAAAUAAAUAAAUACAUAAUUUUUUAAAUGAUGAUGAUGAUAUUUUUUGAGUUGAUGCCUCAAAAUAUGUCUACCCAGAAGCUGUGAAAGUGACCUUAUUUGGACAAAGGGUCUUUGAGGAUGCAAUUAAGUUAAGGAUCUUGAAUGAGGUCAUCUGGAUUAGGGCGCACCCUACAUCCAGUGACACGUUUCCUGAGAGAGGGAUGGGGUGGCGGAGCAGGACAUUGAGCUCACCUCCUCUCACGAGUACACCCAAAUCACAACUGCUGAACCACUCUUGAGAAAAAAGACUGUAACCUACCAAAAAAGAUAUUCUACAUCCAAAGACAUAAAGAAGAAAGCACAAUGACAAGUAUCCUUAAAAGAGACAAAAAAGAAGAAACUUCUCUGGUGGUCCAGUGGCUGCGACUCUGUGCUCCCAAUGCAGGGGGCCCAGAUUCGAUCCCUAGUCAAGGAACUAAGAUCCUGCAUGCCAAGAAAAUAGGGGGAAAAAAAUAAAAAAGAAGGAGAAACCAUAAUGAAACUCACAAUCCUUCUAAGAGACAGAAGAGGAGACAGAAGACGCAGAGGCAGAGAGACCUGAGACCGCAGAAGGGGCACAGAAGAGGGACGUGGCCACAAGCUAAGCAACCCCUGUGACACCAGAGGCUGGGAGAGAUGAGGCAGGAUGCUCACCUGGAGCCUUCGGAGGGAGCACAACCCUGCUGACACCUUGAUUUCGGACUUCUGGCCUCCACAACCAUGGAGAAUCAAUUUCCACUGAUAAAAGCUGCGCAAUUUGCGGUAGUUUGUUCCGACAGUCCCAGAAAACCAAUACAGGGAUUGUCCAAAGACAGCCCAUUGCAUGCCCUCAAGACCAACCUUUCUAUUUAAUAACCCAGUGUUUUUGUUCCCAUUUCAGAG